UAACACGUGAGAACCUGCCCUUUAGUGAGGAAUACCCUCGAGAAAUCGAGGUUAAUACUGCAUACGUCCGGUAUAGAAAUAUAUUGGAGAAAGAUGGCUUUAUGCUGUCGCUAAAGGAGGGGCUUGCGGCCUAUCAGCUAGUUGGUGAGGUAAUGGCUCACCAAGGCUAUGACGGGUAGCCGACCCGAGAGGGUGACCGGCCACGCUGGAACUGAGACACGGUCCAGACUCCUACGGGAGGCAGCAGUGGGGAAUCUUGCACAAUGGGCGAAAGCCUGAUGCAGCGAUGCCGCGUGAAGGAUGAAGGUCUUCGGAUCGUAAACUUCUGUUAAACGGGAGAAAAGACUCAUGCAUAAUACGUAUGGGGAAUGAUAGUACCGUUAAAGAAAGCACCGGCUAACUUCGUGCCAGCAGCCGCGGUAAUACGAGGGGUGCAAGCGUUAUCCGGAAUUAUUGGGCGUACAGGGUGCGUAGGCGGCUUGCUAAGUCAAUUGUUAAAUCUCCCAGCCUAACUGGGAACCGGCGAUUGAUACUGAUGAGCUAGAGGAUGGAAGAGAGAAGCGGAAUUCUCGGAGUAGCGGUAAAAUGCGUAGAUCUCGAGAGGAACACCGAUGGCGAAGGCAGCCUCUUGGUCCAUUUCUGACGCUGAGGCACGAAAGCGUGGGGAGCAAACAGGAUUAGAUACCCUGGUAGUCCACGCUGUAAACGAUGAUCACUGGACGUUGGGUUUGUUUUACAAAUCCAGUGCCGAAGCUAACGCAUUAAGUGAUCCGCCUGGGAACUACGGUCGCAAGACUAAAACUCAAAGGAAUUGACGGGGGUCCGCACAAGCGGUGGAACAUGUGGUUUAAUUCGACACUACGCGAGGGACCUUACCUGGGCUU
rnacentral:rRNA from 1 species